UACGGGGGGGGCAAGCGUUGUUCGGAAUUACUGGGCGUAAAGGGCUCGUAGGCGGCCAACUAAGUCAGACGUGAAAUCCCUCGGCUUAACCGGGGAACUGCAUCUGAUACUGGAUGGCUUGAGAUUGGGAGAGGGAUGCGGAAUUCCAGGUGUAGCGGUGAAAUGCGUAGAUAUUGGGAAGAACACCGGUGGCGAAGGCGGCGACCUGGUCCGACACUGACGCUGAGGCGCGAAAGCGUGGGGAGCAAACAGG
rnacentral:rRNA from 1 species